GACAGAGGAUGCAAGCGUUAUCCGGAAUGAUUGGGCGUAAAGCGUCUGUAGGUGGCUUUUUAAGUCCGCCGUCAAAUCCCAGGGCACAACCCUGGACAGGCGGUGGAAACUACCAAGCUGGAGUACGGUAGGGGCAGGAGGGAAUUUCCGGGUGGAGCGGUGAAAUGCGUAGAUAUCGGAAGGAACACCGGUGGCGAAAGCGGCGCGCUGGAUCCCUACUGACGCUGAGGCACGAAAGCCAGGGGAGCAAACGGG
rnacentral:rRNA from 1 species